ensembl:lncRNA
CGUUGCUGAGAUGAGACGAGGGACUGGGCCGUGUAAGAAGUUGCAGAUCUGUUUGAUUCUCUAACAACGCAGGAGAUCGGUUCAGAGUCAGUUACUCCGUCACCUCCACGCUC